CUUGCCUAAUUGCAAUGCCUAUUGAGUGGCAGUUUUAGAUCCAAAGAUGAAGGAAGAGGUUCCCAGGCAGGAGUCAAAACUUACAUAGAGCCAAACGCUGAAGAUAGCAGUGAGUUUGUCACGGGAUUAGAGGUUCUACCAUAAAGAACAGAAAACAAAGUAACCUGGACACACUACUGUACGGGGAAGAUGAUCAAAGGCCCAGUGAAUGGCUCCAGAGUGCUGUGCCUCCAAGCAUCAGUGAACCCUAUCCAAAAAAGGAAGCUUUCUUGUUGCUUGUAGUGAGGUGGAGUCCCUUGAAGUGUUUUCCAGGCGCGCGAAGGACACAGCCUGAACAGUUCAGCCAGACUGCAAAGCUGCCACGAAUGUCCUUGGAGUCCAGGGAAAGUGCAGAGCAGGACAGCAGGAGCUGUAACAGCCCUCCCUGUGUAUCAGUAUCAGAAGUGACCACAACCAUAUCCCUUUUGGGUUUCCAU
ensembl:lncRNA